UAUGCACGGACACAUAUCAUUGGCAUAUCACUGGCAUAUCAUAGGCAUACUCCCGGGAAAACGCAGCAAGUAAUAUGGAAUCGUAGUCGCAUAAAAUCAAUUUUUCUUAGACAAAAAAAGAAUAAAAGUGUAGGUUUAUAAUGGAUCGCAAGUUCAUGAUUCUACUGAAGAAUCUGCCUAAAGAGCAUUGUUACAUUUAAAGCAGAUUUCUAUUCGUGUAACAUGUUUGAAAAUCCAGGUAUCCAGACAUCGAGUGUCGUGCGUUCAACCUUCGUCAUUAUUCCUGUGAAAAGUGUUAUUCCGUGCUUAGAAAUCCAUAAAAUUUUACAUGACUGGCUGAAGGAGUGAGAUGGCAUUUCUCAGUCUGGACGACUAUGCUCAAAAAGCGAGAGGUUUGAAGGAUGAUUUUAUUUUAAAAACACGAGUUCAUUGCGUGUUACGAAAAAAAAACUCUCCGAAAAUAUCACUAAUUCUGACGCUCUGCAUGGCGUAUAUUGCUGUGGCUGUGAAUAAGAAGGAUAGAUGAGUUUUGAGUUUUGUCUGCGUGCUAACUGAUUCACAGCUUCGUUCUCUUUGUGUUUGUGGGUUUGAUGAGGUCAUGAUGUUCCAACCCGCAUUUGUCGUAGUUCUGUUGGUUAGCCAUUGUUUUACGGACACGGUUUGUUCAGACUGGUGGGUCUCACAACAGCGCAGCUCGAAAAUCAAGCACAAGGACGAAGAUUCCACCGUGCACGUGGAUCCUGGAAAAUUUCAAGACCAACAGACGCUUCAGUUCUCUCCGAUAACUGUUCGAGGCACCAAAAUUGAAAUUAGAGAGGAGAUUAUAAACGAAAAGCCACUGCCGCGCGCGGAAAAUAACUCCCGUCAAGUUCCUCAAGCUGGUUCUAGUAUUUUAGAAAUAAUAGGACUCUUAAGAGAACAUCCCAAUCUAGAAAUACUCCCGAAAAUAACAAAUCUUCACCUCUCCAGAGCCAGACAUUCCGUCCCGUCAAAACCUCAAAAUGGGAAUAUCUCCGUCUUAAAAUCUUUGCCUGCGCUUGGAAUACCGGAUUCAAAGGUUGGAUUUUCAGAAUUCUCAAAUACACGGGCAUCGAAAUCAGGACAGUUAACAAGGACAGACGGAGCCAACCGUGCGACGAACUCGUUACAGCCUCUUGGAAUCAGUCUCUCCUGGCUGGAUUCGGACGCGGAACCAGGAACUGAUUUUCCAGUUGGUCUCGACACCCGCGCCUACUACGGGACGGAGACGCUGCGGCGAGCAGUUUCGUCGACGGUGAGCUAUAGUCAAUCACUCCUGACGGACUAUUUGAAAUCCAGCCUGAAUCUCCCUCAGGUCGACAGAGUCCGCAACCUUAUCGGCAAUCCACUCCUGCGCCCAAUCCUCGAGAGAAUGAUCCCUCAGCCUUUAACAGAAAUUCCGUAUAACAUUCAUGACGACGUCGGGGGCAUAUUCCUCAAGGUCCUCCUGUCCCGUAAAGAGGGCAUGGAUGUCUUGGAACUCAUCAAACUCAUAGCGAAAAACGUGAGCGUUGUCAAGGAAAAGGGGAAGGUCAAGUACAAGAUCAACGCCGUGUGUUUACUCAUGUCGUCGCGGAAAGUCUUAAGAUCAAGCCUCUUUAGCAGCUCAUCUUCGAGCAAGGACUCAUCAUCAUCAGUAUCAUCAUCAUCAGCAUCACUGGAGCGUAGUAAAAGUGACGCCACACAGCGCGAUAUGAGCCGCAGUAAGAGCCUCAGUAGGAGCCUUAACAAGAAACUCGGUGGGAGCUUUAGUAAAAGCUUCAGUGGGAGCCGCAGCUUGAGUCCAUCGCCGUCCACCAGGGUGGAGUACGAAUUCGGGGAAUCGAAAAACAAGGAAAUCGAGGGUUGUAAGGUGGACUCGAUGAGCAACCUCCGGAAGUACCUGCGCGCCAAAAAGCCCAAAGGCUUCGAGGAUGGCGUGGGAGGGAUGUUCCUGAAGUGCGCGGUGUUCUGUCCCGAUGCCCCGCUGUACCUGGACACUCUUAAGGCGGUCGUCAACAACGUCCGCAUUGAGAAAUUGCCGGAGAAAUCCGGGAAAUUUAAGUCUCACUAUCACAUUGAUUUUCUGGGUUUCGCCAAGUCACCCGGGAUCAGCCCGUUGUUGGCCGACAUUCCCGGUAUACCCGGCGAAUUGAUCCGAUCUAUUUCUGACGGCAGCAGCGGCAGAUCCCAAGACUCCUCUUGA
rnacentral:lncRNA from 1 species